AUUUCUAAUUUAUAUAGUUUAAUAAAAACAUUACAUUUUCAUUGUAAAAUUAAAUUCUACAUUUUUUAA
rnacentral:tRNA from 1 species